rnacentral:misc_RNA from 1 species
GAUGAAGAACGUAGCGAAAUGCGAUAAGUAGUGUGAAUUGCAGAAUUCAGUGAAUCAUCGAAUCUUUGAACGCACAUUGCGCCCCUUGGUAUCCCGAGGGGCAUGCCUGUUCGAGUGUCAUUUCACCACUCAAGCCUGGCUUGGUGUUGGGCGACGUCCCCUUUGGGGACGCGCCUCGAAACGCUCGGCGGCGUGGCACCGGCUUUAAGCGUAGCAGAAUCUUUCGCUUUGGAAGUCGGGGCCCCGUCUGCCGGAAGACCUACUCGCAAGGUUGACCUCGGAUCAGGCAGGGAUACCCGCUGAACUUAAGCAUAUCAAUAAGCGGAGGA